UACGGGGGGGGUAAGCGUUGUUCGGAAUUACUGGGCGUAAAGGCUCGUAGGCGGCCAACUAAGUCAGACGUGAAAUCCCUCAGCUUAACUGGGGAACUGCGUCUGAUACUGGAUGGCUUGGAUUCGGGAGAGGAAUGCGGAAUUCCAGGUGUAGCGGUGAAAUGCGUAGAUAUCGUAAGGAAGACCAGUGGCGAAGGCGGGUCUCUGGACAGUUCCUGACGCUGAGGCACGAAGGUCAGGGGAGGCAAACCGGG
rnacentral:rRNA from 1 species